CUUACAUACAUAUUUGAAUGGAUGAGCGUAAGCUUUUGAGUGUCUUAAAAAUGUGAACGAGAGACAAGUGGAUACGUAUUGGUAAAAUAAAGACAAAAAUAUUUUGA